CCUAGGGAGGCAGCAGAGGGGAAUAUUGCACAAUGGGCGCAAGCCUGAUGCAGCCAUGCCGCGUGUGUGAAGAAGGCCUUCGGGUUGUAAAGCACUUUCAGCGGGGAGGAAGGCGUUAAGGUUAAUAACCUUGUCGAUUGACGUUACCCGCAGAAGAAGCACCAGCUAACUCCGUGCCAGCAGCCGCGGUAAUACGGAGGGUGCAAGCGUUAAUCGGAAUUACUGGGCGUAAAGCGCACGCAGGCGGUCUGUCAAGUCGGAUGUGAAAUCCCCGGGCUCAACCUGGGAACUGCAUUCGAAACUGGCAGGCUAGAGUCUUGUAGAGGGGGGUAGAAUUCCAGGUGUAGCGGUGAAAUGCGUAGAGAUCUGGAGGAAUACCGGUGGCGAAGGCGGCCCCCUGGACAAAGACUGACGCUCAGGUGCGAAAGCGUGGGGAGCAAACAGGAUUAGAUACCCCAGUAGUC
rnacentral:rRNA from 1 species